rnacentral:rRNA from 1 species
UAAACUAGGAUUAGAUACCCUAUUAUUWUAGUUGUUAAUAAUUUACCUGGGUAUUAAUAGUUAUUUGCUUUAAACCUAAAGAAUUUGGCGGUGUUUUAGUCUUUUCAGAGGAAUUUGUCCCGUAAUCGAUAGUCCCCGUUUUAAUCGUUCUUAUUUUUGUAUUCAGUUUGUAUAUCGCCGUAUAAGUUUAUUUUUUUAGAAUUUUAAAUUUUCUUUUGUCUUUAAUUAGAUUUAUUUCAGGUCAAGGUGCAGUUUAUAUUUAAGAGGAGGAUGAGUUACAAUAUUUAAUGAGUAUUAUGGAUUUUAUUUUGAAAUAUUUAUUUGAAGGUGGAUUUGUUAGUAAUUAUUAUUUAUAUUAUUUUUUUGAUUUUGGCUCUAAAAUGAGUACACAUCG